rnacentral:lncRNA from 1 species
GAUGAUGCUACUCAGGAUACAAUUGACAAAUAGAACUAAUGAUCAUGAGGUAUGUGAACUAAUAGAACUUGUGUUUUUCUUUUAUAUCAAUACCCAUUCAUGUUGACAUAGAGAUUCCAUUGACAGUACUAACAGGCUUGCUUCUCACUGCUUUACAAUGACAGUACUAUCAGACUGCUUUUGUUAGUGUGGAUGAAAAUAUCAAUCAAAUCUUGCAGCAUAUCCAUCCUGCAACUCAAGACUAUUUUGAAAAGCUAGAUCAGAUGGUUACCAUGUGAAACUUUGAGAAAAAAAAUGAAGGGAAUCCAAUUUCUUUAUGAGGAAAUCUAUAUCAAUAUUCAGUCAUGAGUUUCCUUGAUUGUGUUUUGGCAUAUAGCUUUAAUUUCUUAUCACCAGCUGUCUUAGUCUUAUAUCAAUAUUCAGUCAUUUUGUUUUUGCCUGUACAAAAGAAUGUAAUAGUUUAGUAGUAUUACAAAAGAAUGUAAUGAUUUAGUGGAAUUUGUGUUCAGGAACUUCAAUUUGCUGCUUUUACCUGUACAAAUUUUUACCUUUAAUUCAACUGGCAGGUUUCUUGUAUAUUUUGUUGGGAGUAUCUUACAUAUGAUGUUUGUGUUUCACCACUGUUUAAUUCAACUGACAGGUUUUUUGUAUGUUUUCCUGUCUCAUGAACCCGUUUGAUG